rnacentral:rRNA from 1 species
UACGGAGGGUGCGAGCGUUGUCCGGAAUCAUUGGGCGUAAAGGGCGCGUAGGUGGCCCCUCAAGCGUGCGGUGAAAGUCAGGGGCUCAACCCCUGAUCGGCCGUGCGAACUGGGGAGCUUGAGCACUGUAGAGGCAGGCGGAAUUCCGGGUGUAGCGGUGGAAUGCGUAGAGAUCCGGAAGAACACCGGUGGCGAAGGCGGCCCGCUGGGCUGUUGCUGACGCUGAGGCGCGACAGCGUGGGGAGCAAACAGG